rnacentral:lncRNA from 10 species
ACCAACUUAACUUCAAUUUCAUAAAAAACAUUUACUUCUUUAGAGCUCUAUCCCUUCCUCCUAACUCCAUAUUAUUGUCCCAAAUUAGAUCUUUAUAUAUGCACCCACUAACAUAGACUUGUAAUUGUUUUAUGCAGUUAUGUUUUAGAUAUUGUAGAAAAUACAGAGUUUAUAAAUAAAAUUACAAUAAUUCUGAUUUUUAUAUUUUAUUAUGUGUUUCCUUUUACUGAAGAUCUUUGUAUCUUCAUAAAGCUUUGAAUAAGAGAGUUUGGUAAGGUUUAUGGGUACAGAUCAAUAUAAUAAUAACGGUUAACAAUUUUUUUUUUUUGAGAUAGGGUCUCUCUCUGUAGCCCAGGUUGGAGUGCAGUGGUGUGAUCACAGCUCACUGUAGCCUUGGUCUCCUGGGUUCAAGUGAUUCUCCCACCUCAGCCUCCUGAGUCAUGGGAACACAGGCCCAUGCCACAAGGCCUGGAUAAUUUUUGUAUUCUUUGUAGAGACGGGGUUUUGCCAUGUUGCCCAGGCUAGUAUCAAACUCCUGGGCUCAAGUGAUCUGCCUGCAUUGGCCUCCCAAAGUGCUGGGAUGACAAGCAUGAGCCACCAUGCCUGGCCAAUAGUUAAAAAUUUUGUUUGCAUUUAUUAUGUACCAGACAUUGUGCUAAGUAUGUUAAGUGUAAAAUCUAUUAAUAUUCACAUCAAUCAUGUGAGAGGACUACAGUAACGACCCUGUUUUACAGAGUUGGAAACUGAGACCCAGAAUUUACUAAUCUGUUCAAGUAAGUGGUGGAACUAGGAUUUGAAUUCCAUCAAUCUGGAUCCAGAGACAAUGCUCUCAAUCACUAUGUUGCACUGUUUCUCAAAGUUAAUACCUGCUCCCUGCAUCAGCUACUUUAAAAUGUCAUUAAAAGACAUAGAUCCCAUUCACGAUGUCAAAAAUAAGUAAAUAAAUUCAACCUUAUUGGAGGUCAUUUUAGAUGGUCUAAAUAAAUGGGGGGAUACAGUCACUCACGUUUGGGAAGUAUCAAGCUAAGUAUCUAAAACAUGGAAGCUAUCCCCAGAUUAAUCCAGCAAUUCAAUGCAAUUCUAUCAAAAUCUCUAAAAGGUUGUGUGUGUGUGUUUGUAUGUGUGUGUGUCUGCAUGUACACAACUUCUAGGUGGUUCCCAAAUUAACAGGGAAAAGUAAGAGCUAAGAAUAGCUCAGAUUAUUUUGUACCACAGGACUAAAGAAAGGGAGCAUACAUCCCUGAUAUCAAGAUUUAUAGUAAAGCAACAGUGGUUAAAACCAGAUGGUAUGAUUGACCAAUGAGUGGAUGAAUAAAACGUGUUAUACAUGUAAAAUAGAAUAUUAUUCAACCUUAAAAAGGAAGGAAAUUCUGGCACAUGCUACAACAUGGAAGAACCUUGAAGACGUUAUAGUAAGUGAAAUAAGCCAGUCACAAAAGUGCAAAUAUUGCAUAAUAUAUGAGAUACUUAAGUGAGUUAAAUUUAUAGACAAAUUAGGGAGAAUGGUAAUUACCAGGGAGUAAUGGGAUGUUACUGUUUAAUAUGUGCAGCAUUUCAUUUUGGGAUCAUGAAAACUUUCUGGAGAUGAAUAGUAGUGAUGGUUGCACAACAACGUCAGUGUACUUAAUGCCACUGAAUUGUACACUCAAAAAGGAUUAAAAUGAUAAAUUCUAUGUAAAGUAGAGUUUACCAUAAUUUUUAAAUAAAAACAUGACGUAGAGCAGGAAUGAACAACUAGAUCAAUAGGUAAAAAAUAUCCACAGAAACAGAACCAUGAGAGCUUGGUGUAUGAUAGAACAGACAUUAAAAUCAGCAGGGAAAAUGAGGGACUAAUCAGUAAACAGUGUUGGACAACUGGCUAUUUAUAUGGUAAAAUAUAAAAUUAGGCCGGGCACAGUGGCUCACACCUGUAAUCCCCACACUUUGGGAGGUCAAGGUGGGUGGAUCACGAUGUCAGGAGUUCAAGACCAGCCUGGCCAAGAUGGUGAAAUCUUGUCUCUACUAAAAAUACAAAAAAAAUUAGCUGGGUGUGGUGGCAUGCGACUGUAAUCCCAGCUAUUGGGGAGCUGAGGCAGAGAAUUUCUUAAACCUGGGAGGUGGAGGUUGCAGUGAGCCAAGAUUGCGCCACUGCAUUCCAGCCUGGGCAACAGAGCAAGAUCCCAUCUCAAAAAAAAAAUUAGAUUCCUAUCUCACCUCAUACACAAAUUAAAUUACAGUUGAAUGACAUUAUCAAACCAUGAAGGCUAAACUUUAAUUUUUUUAGAAAAAAUAUAUGGUGAUAUCUGUAUGAUAGUGCAAAAGAUUUCUUGAACAAGAUAUGAAAGGUAAGGUAGUUUCCUACAGCUGCUGGAACAAAAUGUCAGAAAGCAGGUGGCUUUCAACAACAGAAAUGUACUCUCUUAUAGUUCUGGGGCCCAGAAGUCUGAAAUCAAGGUGUCAGCAAGGUCGUGCUCCCUCUGAGAUUGCAUAGAAUCAAUCCUUCCUUGUUUCUUCCGAGCUUCUGAUGAUGGCUGUCAAUCCUUGGUCAUGCUUUGGCUCUCAGCGGCAUCACUCCAUUCUGUGUCUGUAAUCACCAGUGUUCUCCCCGUGUGUCUUUGAAACCAAAUAACCAAAUUUCCCUCCUUUUUUUUUUUUUUUGUUUUUUGAGACAUAGUCUCUCUGUCACCCAGGCUGGAGUGCAGUGGCGCAAUCUUGGCUGACUGCAAGUUCCGCCUCCCAGGUUCACGCCAUUCUCCUGCCUCAGCCUCCCGAGCAGCUGGGACUACAGGCACACAUCACCUCGCCUGGCUAAUUUUUUGUAUUUUUAGUAGAGACGGGGGUUUCACCAUGUUAGCCAGGAUGGUCUCGAUCUCCUGACCUCGUGAUCCGCCCACCUCGGCCUCCCAAAGUGCUGGGAUUACAGGUGUGAGCCACCGCGCCCGGCCCAAAUUUCCCUCUUCUUACAAAAAUGCCAGUGGGCCAGUCGCAGUGGCUCAUGCCUGUAAUCCCAGCACUUUGGGAGGCCGAGGGGGGUGGAUCACCUGAGGUCAGGAGUUCAAGACCAGCCUGGCCAACAUGGCAAAACCCCAUCUCUACUAAAAAUACAAAAAUUAGCCGGGCAUGGUGGUGCACACCUGUAAUUCCCAGCUACUCAGGAGGCUGAGGCAGGAAAAUCGCUUGAACCUGGGAGGUGGAGUUUGCAGUGAACCGAGAUUAAGCCAUUGCACUCCAGCCUGGGUGACAGAGAGACUCUGUCUCAAAAAAAAAAAAAAAAAAUACUAGUCAUCUUGUAUUAAGGGCCCAUCCUUUUCCAGUAUGACCUUACCUUAACUAGUUACAUUCACAAUGGCCCUAUGUCCAAAUAAGGUUAUAUUCUGAGGUACUGGUAAGACUUCAACAUAUCUUUCCUGAGGACACAGCACAACUCAACCCAGAACAAAGGUAUUAGCCAUAAAUAAAAGAACUGAUACAUUUGAUCAUAUUAAAUUAAAAGUAAGAAAUUUAUUUCUUCUGUAAUAUGUGU